UUUCGCAAUGCCCGAAAGGGUGACGAAGCGACGCCGCGUGUGGGAAGAAGGCCUUCGGGUUGUAAACCACUGUCGGGAGUUAAGAAAUGCAAGGAUAUGAAUAGUGUCUUUGCUUGACUAAGGCUCCGGAGGAAGCCACGGCUAACUCUGUGCCAGCAGCCGCGGUAAUACAGAGGCGGCAAGCGUUGUUCGGAAUUAUUGGGCGUAAAGAGCACGUAGGCGGCUGUGUAAGUCGGUUGUGAAAGCCUUCCGCUCAACGGGAGAACAGCAUCCGAUACUGCAUGGCUUGAGUGCGGGAGGGGAGAGUGGAACUUCUGGUGGAGCGGUGAAAUGCGUAGAUAUCAGAAGGAACGCCGGCGGCGAAAGCGGCUCUCUGGCCCAUAACUGACGCUGAGUGUGCGAAAGCUAGGGGAGCAAACGGGAUUAGAUACCCCGGUAGUCCUAGCCGUAAACGAUGGGCACUAAGUAGAGGGGUUUU
rnacentral:rRNA from 1 species